UACGAAGGGGGCUAGCGUUGCUCGGAAUCACUGGGCGUAAAGCGCACGUAGGCGGAUUGUUAAGUCAGGGGUGAAAUCCUGGAGCUCAACUCCAGAACUGCCUUUGAUACUGGCGAUCUCGAGUCCGGGAGAGGUGAGUGGAACUGCGAGUGUAGAGGUGAAAUUCGUAGAUAUUCGCAAGAACACCAGUGGCGAAGGCGGCUCACUGGCCCGGUACUGACGCUUAGGUGCGAAAGCGUGGGGAGCGAACGGG
rnacentral:rRNA from 1 species